GACAGAGGGUGCAAACGUUGCUCGGAAUUACUGGGCGUAAAGCGCGUGUAGGCGGUUCCGCCAGUCUGGUGUGAAAGCCCGGGGGCUCAACCCCGGAAGCGCAUUGGAUACUACGGAGCUUGAGUCCUGAAGAGGAGAGCGGAAUUCCCGGUGUAGAGGUGAAAUGCGUAGAGAUCGGCAGGAACACCCAGGGGGGAAACCAGUGGACUGGGCAUGUGCUGACGCUCAGGUGCGAAAAGCGUGGGGAGCGAACCGG
rnacentral:rRNA from 1 species